rnacentral:rRNA from 1 species
AGUGAACGCUGGCGGUAGGCCUAACACAUGCAAGUCGAACGGCAGCACAGUAAGAGCUUGCUCUUACGGGUGGCGAGUGGCGGACGGGUGAGGAAUACAUCGGAAUCUACUUUUUCGUGGGGGAUAACGUAGGGAAACUUACGCUAAUACCGCAUACGACCUACGGGUGAAAGCAGGGGAUCUUCGGACCUUGCGCGAUUGAAUGAGCCGAUGUCGGAUUAGCUAGUUGGCGGGGUAAAGGCCCACCAAGGCGACGAUCCGUAGCUGGUCUGAGAGGAUGAUCAGCCACACUGGAACUGAGACACGGUCCAGACGCCUACGGGAGGCAGCAGUGGGGAAUAUUGGACAAUGGGCGCAAGCCUGAUCCAGCCAUACCGCGUGGGUGAAGAAGGCCUUCGGGUUGUAAAGCCCUUUUGUUGGGAAAGAAAAGCAGCAGGUUGAUACCCCGCUGUUCUGACGGUACCCAAAGAAUAAGCACCGGCUAACUUCGUG